GAAGAUCAUAUGCGGGUACGAGUGUAAUAUUGUCAACGCAAAGGCCCAUUUUGUAUGACUUGCAAAGGAUGGAGUUAGAGAUAAAGACUCCAGGGACCCAUGUGAUGAUGGCGAAUAUACGAGUAGAACCGACUUUAAUCGAUAAAGUUAAAGCUGCUCAAGCUACAGACCUGGAGCUGAUUCGUAUGAGGAAUAAAGUACAAGAAGG
rnacentral:lncRNA from 1 species